rnacentral:rRNA from 1 species
UACGGGGGGGAGCAAGCGUUGUUCGGAUUUACUGGGCGUAAAGGGCGCGUAGGCGGCCACCGCAAGUCGACUGUGAAAUCUCCGGGCCUAACCCGGAAAGGUCAGCCGAUACUGCGGGGCUAGAGUGCAGAAGGGGCAACUGGAAUUCUCGGUGUAGCGGUGAAAUGCGUAGAUAUCGAGAGGAACACCUGCGGCGAAGGCGGGUUGCUGGGCUGACACUGAGGCGCGAAGGCGUGGGGAGCGAACGGG